rnacentral:rRNA from 1 species
AUAGAUACCUCGGUAGUCCUAGCCGUAAACGAUGGACACUAGGUGUUGGUGGUAUCAACCCCACCAGUGCCGAAGCUAACGCAUUAAGUGUCCCGCCUGGGGAGUACGGCCGCAAGGCUAAAACUCAAAGGAAUUGACGGGGCCCCGCACAAGCAGCGGAGCGUGGGGUUUAAUUCGAUGCAACGCGAAGAACCUUACCAGGGCUUGACAUGACCAGGAAUCCGGCGGAAACGUCGGCGCCCCGCAAGGGGCCUGGCCACAGGUGUUGCAUGGCUGUCGUCAGCUCGUGUCGUGGGAUGUUGGGUUAAGUCCCGCAACGAGCGCAACCCCUACCGUGUGUUGUAUCACUCACACGGGACUGCCGAGAGAAACUCGGAGGAAGGCGGGGAUGACGUCAAGUCAGCAUGGCCCUUACGUCCUGGGCUACACCCACGCUACAAUGGCCGGUACAACGGGCUGCGAAACCGCGAGGUGGAGCAAAUCCCUUAAAGCCGGUCUCAGUUCGGAUUGUAGGCUGCAACUCGCCUACAUGAAGCCGGAGUUGCUAGUAACCGCC